rnacentral:rRNA from 1 species
CGCCUUCAUGAAGCCGGAAUUGCUAGUAAUGGCAGGUCAGCAUACUGCCGUGAAUACGUUCCCGGGCCUUGUACACACCGCCCGUCACACCAUGAGAGUUGGGAAUACCCGAAGCCUGUGAGCUAACGAAAGAGGCAGCAGUCGAAGGUAGAGCCAAUGAUUGGGGUGAAGUCGUAACAAGGUACC